UACGUAGGGUGCGAGCGUUAAUCGGAAUUACUGGGCGUAAAGCGUGCGCAGGCGGUUUUGUAAGACAGAUGUGAAAUCCCCGGGCUCAACCUGGGAACUGCAUUUGUGACUGCACGGCUGGAGUGCGGCAGAGGGGGAUGGAAUUCCGCGUGUAGCAGUGAAAUGCGUAGAGAUGUGGAGGAACACCGAUGGCGAAGGCAGCCUCCUGGGCCAGCACUGACGCUCAUGCACGAAAGCGUGGGGAGCAAACAGG
rnacentral:rRNA from 1 species